GUCCCUAUAGCUUAAAACAAAGCAUGACACUGAAGAUGUCAAGACGGCACAAUCACCUGCCUAAGGACA
rnacentral:tRNA from 1 species